rnacentral:rRNA from 1 species
AUUGAUUUUAUGCUUGCAUAAAUGAUUUUUGGAUUCGGAGCGAGUGGCGAACUGGUGAGUAACACGUGGGUAACCUGCCCCGCAGCGGGGGAUAACAUUUGGAAACAAGUGCUAAUACCGCAUAAUUAGUUGGAACCGCAUGGUUCCAACUUGAAAGAUGGCUCUGCUAUCACUUUGGGAUGGACCCGCGCCGUAUUAGUUAGUUGGUGAGAUAAAAGCCCACCAAGACGAUGAUACGUAGCCGACCUGAGAGGGUAAUCGGCCACAUUGGGACUGAGACACGGCCCAGACUCCUACGGGAGGCAGCAGUAGGGAAUCUUCCACAAUGGACGAAAGUCUGAUGGAGCAACGCCGCGUGAGUGAUGAAGGUUUUCGGAUCGUAAAACUCUGUUGUUAAAGAAGAACAAGUGUUAGAGUAACUGUUAACACUUUGACGGUAUUUAACCAGAAAGCCACGGCUAACUACGUGCCAGCAGCCGCGGUAAUACGUAGGUGGCAAGCGUUGUCCGGAUUUAUUGGGCGUAAAGCGAGCGCAGGCGGUUUUGUAAGUCUGCUGUGAAAGCCCUCAGCUCAACUGAGGAAGUGCAGUGGAAACUACAAAACUUGAGUACAGAAGAGGAAAGUGGAACUCCAUGUGUAGCGGUGAAAUGCGUAGAUAUAUGGGAGAACACCAGUGGCGAAGGCGGCUUUCUGGUCUGUUACUGACGCUGAGGCUCGAAAGCAUGGGUAGCGAACAGGAUUAGAUACCCUGGUAGUCCAUGCCGUAAACGAUGAAUACUAGGUGUUGGAGGGUUUCCGCCCUUCAGUGCCGCAGCUAACGCAUUAAGUAUUCCGCCUGGGGAGUACGACCGCAAGGUUGAAACUCAAAGGAAUUGACGGGGGCCCGCACAAGUGGUGGAGCAUGUGGUUUAAUUCGAUGCUACGCGAAGAACCUUACCAGCUCUUGACAUCUUCUGCCAACCCAAGAGAUUGGGCGUUCCCUUCGGGGACAGAAUGACAGGUGGUGCAUGGUUGUCGUCAGCUCGUGUCGUGAGAUGUUGGGUUAAGUCCCGCAACGAGCGCAACCCUUAUUAUUAGUUGCCAGCAUUUAGUUGGGCACUCUAGUGAGACUGCCGGUGAUAAA